GCCGCCCAGAGCUCGCCAUUGGGCCUCGCUCCCGGGGUCCCGCGCGCCCGCCGUGCUGAUUGGCCGCUGGGGCUUCAUUCACGGCCCCCCUACCGUCCGCGUACAUACUCACGCCCCGGGGGCGCGGCCGCCACGUGGGGAGUGGCGCGGGGGUGGCACUGGGACCGCACCCCCUCUCGUCCUGGCUGCGUGGGCCCCGCUUACCCCCGGAGCAGGAGACUCGGAGCCCGGCAGGUCCCACACUCCACGCGAACUGAAUUCCCGCCCGUCUCCUGCCCGGGCGGCCAAGAGGCAGCGGCAGGGAUUGCGGGCUCCGGGAGGCGCUAGGGCUCCGAGAAGCAGCGGAGCCCCGCUCUCCUCCCUCCGCAGUGCCGCUGCCGGCGGGCCGGGAUUCCCGCGGGUCUCGGCGGCGGCGAGCGGGAGGCGGCGCGGGUCCCGGCUCGGUUCCGGCGCCGUUGCUCCCCUCGGCCUCCUCGCCUCCCGCGCUUCCAGCCUGCACGGAGCUCUCCUCUGCCCGCCUCCCGGGCCCGUCCCGUUUUCCCUCUUCUCCUUCUAGACCUAGCGUCGCAACUCCGCCAACGUACGGCGGCCCCGAGAGCGCGUCCGGCGCGGGCCGAGUCCGACCGGCUCUGGCUUUCCGCCUCGUGCAGGUUCCCCUUCCUCCGGGCUACGCGGACCAGUUGGGUAUCAGCUGGAGGAUGUAGAAGGAGAAGGAGGAGAAGGAAAAUAAGAAGAUGAGAUAUUGGUGUGUCCUACCUGGCAAGAUGGGACAAGAUACUGACCACUGACUCGUGGCUGACCUGGGACAGAUGGAGUGACCUGUCCUGUGCGGUCCCAGGGACGAGGUUUGGGCCAAUUCAGGCAUGUGGCGAAGAGGCAGAUUUUGGUUCAGUUCCAGGAAGAACUUUCCAACAGUUGCUAAUACUUUAACCAUGAAGGAAGCGAAAAAGGAGUUUCAGUCCCCGGAGACCUUGAGCAGAACACGGACUUGCCAAGGAAAGCUGUAGAAGGGAGCCAGGCUCCAGAUGGGUGUCCUCCUUGAUUUCUGGGGGGUCCAUGAACCCCGAGAGCGCAGCUCCCCAGAGGUGGUGCUGCUCCCUUGGAGCCUGUCCCCUGGCUCGUGUUGCUACGUACUCAGCCCAAGAGUACUUGCAGUGCUUGAAAUGAGCAGUUCUGUGAAGCUCGCUCUUGUAGAUCCGGCCCAGGCUGCUGUGGCGAUAACAGAUGAGACUUGGAAGCCCACUUCAGCCUCUGGAGGGGGGCUCCCUACAUCCAUCUCCCACGUGGACUCAACCUCAGAGCCACACAAGCUCCUGGCCUUUUAAAGUUAUCAUCUCGCCCGCUGCGUAUUAAUCCUCACCCCCAGCAGCAGUGAGAGCGAGAUCAGAAGACCUUUUCUCCUUUCCUUUGUGGUGUCCCUCCCAGCCCUCUUUCCUGCUAAAGGGAGGCCUGACCACCUGCUGGAAGAUCUGUUGGCUUGGACUUUGGAGCAUGUGUGCCCCAGCUCAACUGUUUGUUGAUGAUCCCUCUGCCAUCAACUGGAACUUUUCUGGGAUGUGACUUGGGGCUCCCUGACCCCUGUCUGGGUUUGGAUUCUAGGUUUCCCCGACUAGACCUCCCUGCCCAGUUGCCUCAGUCCAUUCCCAGGCAGCCUCACCUGGAUAUGGUUCCCUGCACGUGUGGCUGUCCUGCAGGGACAGGGACUGUCUUCCCUACCUGCCCCAGGCUCCCAAGCCCCAGCUCACAGCUGUGCUGGAACAGGAGUGUGAUGGAUCAUUCCGGUGCCUCAGCUCUUAUCUUGCCGUCAUCAAAUGCCUCCCCUCCCCUGACAGUCCUCUCCCUUCACCGAUGGUUUUGGAUGGAAUUUAAAAUAAAAAAAGAUUGAUUAAAAGUUGGAAA